rnacentral:tRNA from 1 species
GCGGGUGUAGUACAAUGGCAGUACGCUAGCUUCCCAAGCUAGAUACGGGAGUUCGAUUCUCCUCACCCGCUCCA